UGGGGAAUAUUGCACAAUGGGCGAAAGCCUGAUGCAGCAACGCCGCGUGAGUGAUGAAGGUCUUCGGAUUGUAAAGCUCUGUCUUUUGGGACGAUAAUGACGGUACCAAAGGAGGAAGCCACGGCUAACUACGUGCCAGCAGCCGCGGUAAUACGUAGGUGGCGAGCGUUGUCCGGAUUUACUGGGCGUAAAGGGUGCGUAGGCGGAUGUUUAAGUGAGAUGUGAAAUACCCGGGCUUAACUUGGGUGCUGCAUUUCAAACUGGAUAUCUAGAGUGCAGGAGAGGAGAAUGGAAUUCCUAGUGUAGCGGUGAGAUGCGUAGAGAUUAGGAAGAACACCAGUGGCGAAGGCGAUUCUCUGGACUGUAACUGACGCUGAGGCACGAAAGCGUGGGUAGCAAACAGGAUUAGAUACCCUGGUAGUCCACGCCGUAAACGAUGAGUACUAGGUGUAGGAGGUAUCGACCCCUUCUGUGCCGCAGUAAACACAUUAAGUACUCCGCCUGGGAAGUACGAUCGCAAGAUUAAAACUCUAAAGUGAAUUGACGGGGUC
rnacentral:rRNA from 1 species